rnacentral:rRNA from 1 species
AGAGUUUGAUCCUGGCUCAGAACGAACGCUGGCGGCAGGCUUAACACAUGCAAGUUGAACGUGAUUUGUUGGGUGCUUGCACCGAGCAAUGAAAGUAGCGCACUGGUGAGUAACACGUGGGAACGUACCUUUUGGUGGGGAACAACAGUUGGAAACGACUGCUAAUACCGCAUAAGCCCUGAGGGGGAAAGAUUUAUCGCCGAAAGAACGGCCCGCGGAAGAUUAGGUAGUUGGUGGGGUAACGGCCUACCAAGCCGACGAUCUAUAGCUGGUCUGAGAGGACGAUCAGCCACAUUGGAACUGAGACACGGUCCAAACUCCUACGGGAGGCAGCAGUGAGGAAUAUUGGGCAAUGGAGGCAACUCUGACCCAGCCAUACCGCGUGAGUGAAGAAGGUUUUCGGAUUGUAAAGCUCUUUCGGGUGUGACGAUGAUGACGGUAGCACCUAAAGAAGCCCCGGCUAACUUCGUGCCAGCAGCCGCGGUAAUACGAAGGGGGCAAGCGUUGUUCGGAAUUACUGGGCGUAAAGGGAGUGUAGGCGGUUAUGUAAGAUAGUGGUGAAAUCCCAGAGCUUAACUUUGGAAUUGCCAUUAUGACUAUGUGGCUAGAAUUACAGAGAGGAUAGUGGAAUACCCAGUGUAGAGGUGAAAUUCGUAGAUAUUGGGUAGAACACCAGUGGCGAAGGCGACUAUCUGGCUGUAUAUUGACGCUGAGGCUCGAAAGCAUGGGGAUCAAACAGGAUUAGAUACCCUGGUAGUCCAUGCUGUAAACGAUGAGUGCUUGUUGUCGGUGUAAAAUCGGUGACGAAGUUAACGCGUUAAGCACUCCGCCUGGGGAGUACGGUCGCAAGAUUAAAACUCAAAGGAAUUGACGGGGACCCGCACAAGCGGUGGAGCAUGUGGUUUAAUUCGAAGCAACGCGAAGAACCUUACCAAGUCUUGACAUCCCACUGACCGGACAGUAAUGUGUCCUUUCCUUCGGGACAGUGGUGACAGGUGGUGCAUGGUUGUCGUCAGCUCGUGUCGUGAGAUGUUGGGUUAAGUCCCGCAACGAGCGCAACCC